rnacentral:rRNA from 1 species
GGAGCUUGCUCCCUUAGGUCAGCGGCGGACGGGUGAGUAACACGUGGAGUAAACCUGACCUGUAAGACUGGGAUAACUCCGGGAAACCGGGGCUAAUACCGGAUGCUUGAUUGAACCGCAUGGUUCAAUCAUAAAAGGUGGCUUUUAGCUACCACUUACAGAUGGACCCGCGGCGCAUUAGCUAGUUGGUGAGGUAACGGCUCACCAAGGCGACGAUGCGUAGCCGACCUGAGAGGGUGAUCGGCCACACUGGGACUGAGACACGGCCCAGACUCCUACGGGAGGCAGCAGUAGGGAAUCUUCCGCAAUGGACGAAAGUCUGACGGAGCAACGCCGCGUGAGUGAUGAAGGUUUUCGGAUCGUAAAACUCUGUUGUUAGGGAAGAACAAGUACCGUUCGAAUAGGGCGGCACCUUGACGGUACCUAACCAGAAAGCCACGGCUAACUACGUGCCAGCAGCCGCGGUAAUACGUAGGUGGCAAGCGUUGUCCGGAAUUAUUGGGCGUAAAGCGCGCGCAGGCGGUUUCUUAAGUCUGAUGUGAAAGCCCCCGGCUCAACCGGGGGAGGGUCAUUGGAAACUGGGGAAUCUUGAGUGCAGAAAAGGGAGAGUGGAAUUCCACGU